CCAGGAGAAGAAGGGUCGUGCUUCCCCUCCAAUGUGGUACAUCACUAGCAAUGAACUGAAUGCUUUGCCAUCGUAUAUGAAACAAAGGCUUACACUGGAUAAGGUCAAUGCAGCAAUUAAUGACAUGGCAACGUAUGCUGAAGCAAAUGCCCAGAUUAUAGUGGCCCCAAGAAAGAAGCUGGCAGAGAACAUGUUGGAUAAAGCUCUGG